rnacentral:rRNA from 1 species
AUGUACAUUCCUACAACAUAGAGUUAAUGCAUUAGAUCCCAUUAGAAAUUCACAGUUAAGCACACUCAGACUAGAGUAGUACUGGGAUGGGUGACCGCCUGUGAACUGCUAGUAUUUUACAUG